rnacentral:misc_RNA from 1 species
AUGAAGAACGCAGCGAAAUGCGAUAAGUAAUGCGAAUUGCAGAAUUCAGUGAAUCAUCGAAUCUUUGAACGCACAUUGCGCCCGCCAGUAUUCUGGCGGGCAUGCCUGUCUGAGCGUCGUUUCGACCCUCGCGCCCGGCUUCUGUCGGGGGCGGUGUUGGGGAUCGGCCACACCCUUCAGUGGGAGGCCGGCCCCUAAAUUCAGUGGCGACCACGCUGUAGCCUCCCCUGCGUAGUACUAAAACCACCUCGCAGGCGGAGAGCGGUGCGGCCCGCCGUAAAACCCCCCAACUUUUACAAGGUCGACCUCAGAUCAGGUAGGAAUACCCGCUGAACUUAAGCAUAUCAAUAAGCGGAGGA